ACGGACGAGAAGCUUGCUUCUCUGAUGUUAGCGGCGGACGGGUGAGUAACACGUGGAUAACCUACCUAUAAGACUGGGAUAACUUCGGGAAACCGGAGCUAAUACCGGAUAAUAUUUUGAACCGCAUGGUUCAAAAGUGAAAGACGGUCUUGCUGUCACUUAUAGAUGGAUCCGCGCUGCAUUAGCUAGUUGGUAAGGUAACGGCUUACCAAGGCAACGAUGCAUAGCCGACCUGAGAGGGUGAUCGGCCACACUGGAACUGAGACACGGUCCAGACUCCUACGGGAGGCAGCAGUAGGGAAUCUUCCGCAAUGGGCGAAAGCCUGACGGAGCAACGCCGCGUGAGUGAUGAAGGUCUUCGGAUCGUAAAACUCUGUUAUUAGGGAAGAACAUAUGUGUAAGUAACUGUGCACAUCUUGACGGUACCUAAUCAGAAAGCCACGGCUAACUACGUGCCAGCAGCCGCGGUAAUACGUAGGUGGCAAGCGUUAUCCGGAAUUAUUGGGCGUAAAGCGCGCGUAGGCGGUUUUUUAAGUCUGAUGUGAAAGCCCACGGCUCAACCGUGGAGGGUCAUUGGAAACUGGAAAACUUGAGUGCAGAAGAGGAAAGUGGAAUUCCAUGUGUAGCGGUGAAAUGCGCAGAGAUAUGGAGGAACACCAGUGGCGAAGGCGACUUUCUGGUCUGUAACUGACGCUGAUGUGCGAAAGCGUGGGGAUCAAACAGGAUUAGAUACCCUGGUAGUCCACGCCGUAAACGAUGAGUGCUAAGUGUUAGGGGGUUUCCGCCCCUUAGUGCUGCAGCUAACGCAUUAAGCACUCCGCCUGGGGAGUACGACCGCAAGGUUGAAACUCAAAGGAAUUGACGGGGACCCGCACAAGCGGUGGAGCAUGUGGUUUAAUUCGAAGCAACGCGAAGAACCUUACCAAAUCUUGACAUCCUUUGACAACUCUAGAGAUAGAGCCUUCCCCUUCGGGGGACAAAGUGACAGGUGGUGCAUGGUUGUCGUCAGCUCGUGUCGUGAGAUGUUGGGUUAAGUCCCGCAACGAGCGCAACCCUUAAGCUUAGUUGCCAUCAUUAAGUUGGGCACUCUAAGUUGACUGCCGGUGACAAACCGGAGGAAGGUGGGGAUGACGUCAAAUCAUCAUGCCCCUUAUGAUUUGGGCUACACACGUGCUACAAUGGACAAUACAAAGGGCAGCGAAACCGCGAGGUCAAGCAAAUCCCAUAAAGUUGUUCUCAGUUCGGAUUGUAGUCUGCAACUCGACUACAUGAAGCUGGAAUCGCUAGUAAUCGUAGAUCAGCAUGCUACGGUGAAUACGUUCCCGGGUCUUGUACACACCGCCCGUCACACCACGAGAGUUUGUAACACCCGAAGCCGGUGGAGUAACCUUUUAGGAG
rnacentral:rRNA from 1 species